rnacentral:lncRNA from 1 species
CUUUGAUGUUUUAUUACUGUUUUCCCCUUUCGGUCCUCCCAGUCAUAGGGGGCCAAACAGAAGAGCCGUAAGGCAGUUAACGCAGACACCUCCCGAGCAUCAGGAAAGAAGACCUGUUUCCUGUCAGAACUUUGUCUGAAAUCCACAUAGGAACAACCAUGAAGUUCUGGAUUUGCCUGCUCCUCACGUUCGUCAGUGUCCAUCUGCCCGUGCUGGGAAGCCUCAGGACAAAACACAAGAGUGAUGAAACAGCAUCAGUUGACGAGUGCUGGGUGCAACCUCCAUCAGAGUACUGUGCAAACAGGUGCACGCGGCUGCAGACUUGCGUGAACCCUAAUCUUACAUGCUGUUGGGCCUACUGUGGAAAUAUCUGCUUGGACAGAGAAGAGUCCUUUAAAACAGUGCUAAUCCCCUAAGUUCUGUCUGGCCCACCACUAGCGUGUGCAGAAGAAUAACACUGUGGUCUAGGAAGAGUGCUGCCUGGUUGCUGUUGGGAUGUGAACUUGCUCCAGAUGAGGACCUCUUUGCUCUCUCUUUGACCUCUUCACCCUGAGAAGGCUUCCCUUUUGGCCAAAUAAACCAGUACAUCAACCUGAAGGCUCUUUGGUUUUUCAUCCUCCUUCCAUAUUUCCCUUUUUCCAACCCC